GAAUUGGUCACACAAACUUCUAGGAACCUGAAAAGUUAAUUCACAAGAAGAUCGAACAGGUGGGUUAGUAAAAUAAUCCUCACUUGCUCACUUGUUUUCUCACUCGAUUCUUUUGUUUCAAUUUCUUUUUCCACUUUUUUUUCUUGUUCACAUUCUUUUUCUCUCUCAAACUCUUUUUCAUUCUCAUUUUCUUUUUCUUUUUAUUUUUCAAAGGAUUUUUC
rnacentral:lncRNA from 1 species